GGAGUUUGGGCCGUGUCUCAGUCCCAAUGUGGCCGUUCACCCUCUCAGGCCGGCUACUGAUCGUCGACUUGGUGAGCCGUUACCUCACCAACUAUCUAAUCAGACGCGGGUCCAUCUUGUACCGAAAAACUUUUCACACUGCAUCAUGCGAUGCUGUGCGCUUAUGCGGUAUUAGCAGUCGUUUCCAACUGUUGUCCCCCUGUACAAGGUAGGUUACCCACGCGUUACUCACCCGUCCGCCACUCAGUCAACAAGUCGUCACCCCGAAGGGAUCGUAACAAGUUGCUUCGUUCGACUUGCAUGUGUUAAGCACGCCGCCAGCGUUCAUC
rnacentral:rRNA from 1 species